AGAGUUUGAUCCUGGCUCAGGAUGAACGCUAGCGGCAGGCUUAACACAUGCAAGUCGAGGGGCAGCAUAAUGGAUAGCAAUAUCUAUGGUGGCGACCGGCGCACGGGUGCGUAACGCGUAUGCAACCUACCUUUAACAGGGGGAUAACACUGAGAAAUUGGUACUAAUACCCCAUAAUAUCAUAGAAGGCAUCUUUUAUGGUUGAAAAUUCCGAUGGUUAGAGAUGGGCAUGCGUUGUAUUAGCUAGUUGGUGGGGUAACGGCUCACCAAGGCGACGAUACAUAGGGGGACUGAGAGGUUAACCCCCCACACUGGUACUGAGACACGGACCAGACUCCUACGGGAGGCAGCAGUGAGGAAUAUUGGUCAAUGGACGCAAGUCUGAACCAGCCAUGCCGCGUGCAGGAUGACGGCUCUAUGAGUUGUAAACUGCUUUUGUACGAGGGUAAACGCAGAUACGUGUAUCUGUCUGAAAGUAUCGUACGAAUAAGGAUCGGCUAACUCCGUGCCAGCAGCCGCGGUAAUACGGAGGAUUCAAGCGUUAUCCGGAUUUAUUGGGUUUAAAGGGUGCGUAGGCGGUUUGAUAAGUUAGAGGUGAAAUUUCGGGGCUCAACCCUGAACGUGCCUCUAAUACUGUUGAGCUAGAGAGUAGUUGCGGUAGGCGGAAUGUAUGGUGUAGCGGUGAAAUGCUUAGAGAUCAUACAGAACACCGAUUGCGAAGGCAGCUUACCAAACUAUAUCUGACGUUGAGGCACGAAAGCGUGGGGAGCAAACAGGAUUAGAUACCCUGGUAGUCCACGCAGUAAACGAUGAUAACUCGUUGUCGGCGAUACACAGUCGGUGACUAAGCGAAAGCGAUAAGUUAUCCACCUGGGGAGUACGUUCGCAAGAAUGAAACUCAAAGGAAUUGACGGGGGCCCGCACAAGCGGAGGAACAUGUG
rnacentral:rRNA from 4 species